UACGUAGGGGGCUAGCGUUGUCCGGAUUUAUUGGGCGUAAAGAGCGUGUAGGCGGCCAGAUAGGUCUGCUGUGAAAACUCGAGGCUCAACCUCGAGAUGUCGGCGGAAACCAUUUGGCUAGCGUCCGGAAGAGGAAAGUGGAAUUCCUGGUGUAGCGGUGAAAUGCGCAGAUAUCAGGAAGAACACCCGUGGCGAAGGCGGCUUUCUGGGACGGUACUGACGCUGAGACGCGAAAGCGUGGGGAGCGAACAGG
rnacentral:rRNA from 1 species